AUCCCUGUAGCGCAAUGGAUAGCGCGUUGGACUUCUAAUCCAAAGGUCGUGGGUUCAAAUUCUCUACCUGGGAUU